rnacentral:lncRNA from 1 species
GUUGAUAAAAAGAGAAUGACUCACAUUGCAGUUUUACGAGCAGAGAAUCCUUCCAGUUUAUCGACCCAAAUAAGAUUUGGCUUAAUCGGUCUUUGGGUUUUUAACAAGAAGUUGCAAUGCAAGGGGAUGAUCCACGGAUCAUGAAGACAAGAUUGAGACAAUGGGCACAAGUUGUUGCUUGUUCGUUACGUCAAUCAUCAUCGUCACCGCUAUCAUCAUCCCUGUGA